GGGGGCCCGCACAAGCGGUGGAGCAUGUGGUUUAAUUCGAUGCAACGCGAAGAACCUUACCUACUCUUGACAUCCAGAGAACUUUCCAGAGAUGGAUUGGUGCCUUCGGGAACUCUGAGACAGGUGCUGCAUGGCUGUCGUCAGCUCGUGUUGUGAAAUGUUGGGUUAAGUCCCGCAACGAGCGCAACCCUUAUCCUUGUUUGCCAGCGAGUAAUGUCGGGAACUCCAGGGAGACUGCCGGUGAUAAACCGGAGGAAGGUGGGGACGACGUCAAGUCAUCAUGGCCCUUACGAGUAGGGCUACACACGUGCUACAAUGGCGCAUACAGAGGGCAGCCAACUUGCGAAAGUGAGCGAAUCCCAAAAAGUGCGUCGUAGUCCGGAUUGGAGUCUGCAACUCGACUCCAUGAAGUCGGAAUCGCUAGUAAUCGUGGAUCAGAAUGCCACGGUGAAUACGUUCCCGGGCCUUGUACACACCGCCCGUCACACCAUGGGAGUGGGCUGCAAAAGAAGUAGGUAGUUUAACCUUCGGGGGGGACGCUUACCACUUUGUGGUUCAUGACUGGGGUGAAGUCGUAACAAGGUAGCGCUAGGGGAACCUGGCGCUGGAUCACCUCCUUAAACGAUGAU
rnacentral:rRNA from 1 species